rnacentral:rRNA from 1 species
UACGUAGGGCGCAAGCGUUGUCCGGAAUUAUUGGGCGUAAAGAGCUCGUAGGCGGCUUGUCGCGUCUGUUGUGAAAGCCCCGGGGGCUUAACCCCCGGGGUCUGCAGUGGGAUAUGGGGCAGGCUAGAGGCAGGUAGGGGGAGAACGGGAAUUCCCGGGUGUAGCGGUGAAAUGCGCAGAUAUCGGGGAGGAACACCGGGUGGCGAAGGCGGGUUCUCUGGGCCUGUACUGACGGCUGAGGAGCGAAAAGCGUGGGGAGCGAACAGG